rnacentral:rRNA from 1 species
UAGGGAAUCUUCGGCAAUGGGGGCAACCCUGACCGAGCAACGCCGCGUGAGAGAAGAAGGUUUUCGGAUCGUAAAGCUCUGUUGUAAGAGAAGAACGUGUGUGAGAGUGGAAAGUUCACACAGUGACGGUAACUUACCAGAAAGGGACGGCUAACUACGUGCCAGCAGCCGCGGUAAUACGUAGGUCCCGAGCGUUGUCCGGAUUUAUUGGGCGUAAAGCGAGCGCAGGCGGUUUAAUAAGUCUGAAGUUAAAGGCAGUGGCUUAACCAUUGUUCGCUUUGGAAACUGUUAAACUUGAGUGCAGAAGAGGAGUGUGGAAUUCCAUGUGUAGCGGUGAAAUGCGUAGAUAUAUGGAGGAACACCGGUGGCGAAAGCGGCUCUCUGGUCUGUAACUGACGCUGAGGCUCGAAAGCGUGGGGAGCAAACAGG